AUUGAACGCUGGCGGCAUGCCUUACACAUGCAAGUCGAACGGCAGCACGGGAGCAAUCCUGGUGGCGAGUGGGCGAACGGGUGAGUAAUGUAUCGGAACGUACCUUUCAGUGGGGGAUAACGUAGUGAAAGUUACGCUAAUACCGCAUAUUCUAGUGAGCAGGAAAGCUAGGGGAUCGCAAGACCUUGCGCUGAUUGAGCGGCCGAUAUCAGAUUAGCUAGUUGGUGAGGUAAAGGCUCACCAAGGCGACGAUCUGUAGCGGGUCUGAGAGGACGAUCCGCCACGACUGGAACUGAGACACGGUCCAGACUCCUACGGAGGCAGCAGU
rnacentral:rRNA from 1 species